rnacentral:rRNA from 1 species
GAUGAACGCUGGCGGCGUGCCUAAUACAUGCAAGUCGAGCGAACAGACGAGGAGCUUGCUCCUCUGACGUUAGCGGCGGACGGGUGAGUAACACGUGGAUAACCUACCUAUAAGACUGGGAUAACUUCGGGAAACCGGAGCUAAUACCGGAUAAUAUAUUGAACCGCAUGGUUCAAUAGUGAAAGACGGUUUUGCUGUCACUUAUAGAUGGAUCCGCGCCGCAUUAGCUAGUUGGUAAGGUAACGGCUUACCAAGGCAACGAUGCGUAGCCGACCUGAGAGGGUGAUCGGCCACACUGGAACUGAGACACGGUCCAGACUCCUACGGGAGGCAGCAGUAGGGAAUCUUCCGCAAUGGGCGAAAGCCUGACGGAGCAACGCCGCGUGAGUGAUGAAGGUUUUCGGAUCGUAAAACUCUGUUAUUAGGGAAGAACAAAUGUGUAAGUAACUAUGCACGUCUUGACGGUACUUAAUCAGAAAGCCACGGCUAACUACGUG